UUGAACGCUGGCGGCAGGCCUAACACAUGCAAGUCAAGCGGUAGCACAGAGAGCUUGCUCUCGGGUGACGAGCGGCGGACGGGUGAGUAAUGUCUGGGAAACUGCCUGAUGGAGGGGGAUAACUACUGGAAACGGUAGCUAAUACCGCAUAAUGUCGCAAGACCAAAGUGGGGGACCUUCGGGCCUCAUGCCAUCAGAUGUGCCCAGAUGGGAUUAGCUAGUAGGUGGGGUAACGGCUCACCUAGGCGACGAUCCCUAGCUGGUCUGAGAGGAUGACCAGCCACACUGGAACUGAGACACGGUCCAGACUCCUACGGGAGGCAGCAGUGGGGAAUAUUGCACAAUGGGCGCAAGCCUGAUGCAGCCAUGCCGCGUGUGUGAAGAAGGCCUUCGGGUUGUAAAGCACUUUCAGCGGGGAGGAAGGCGUUAAGGUUAAUAACCUUGGCGAUUGACGUUACCCGCAGAAGAAGCACCGGCUAACUCCGUGCCAGCAGCCGCGGUAAUACGGAGGGUGCAAGCGUUAAUCGGAAUUACUGGGCGUAAAGCGCACGCAGGCGGUCUGUCAAGUCGGAUGUGAAAUCCCCGGGCUCAACCUGGGAACUGCAUUCGAAACUGGCAGGCUAGAGUCUUGUAGAGGGGGGUAGAAUUCCAGGUGUAGCGGUGAAAUGCGUAGAGAUCUGGAGGAAUACCGGUGGCGAAGGCGGCCCCCUGGACAAAGACUGACGCUCAGGUGCGAAAGCGUGGGGAGCAAACAGGAUUAGAUACCCUGGUAGUCCACGCCGUAAACGAUGUCGAUUUGGAGGUUGUGCCCUUGAGGCGUGGCUUCCGGAGCUAACGCGUUAAAUCGACCGCCUGGGGAGUACGGCCGCAAGGUUAAAACUCAAAUGAAUUGACGGGGGCCCGCACAAGCGGUGGAGCAUGUGGUUUAAUUCGAUGCAACGCGAAGAACCUUACCUGGUCUUGACAUCCACAGAACUUUCCAGAGAUGGAUUGGUGCCUUCGGGAACUGUGAGACAGGUGCUGCAUGGCUGUCGUCAGCUCGUGUUGUGAAAUGUUGGGUUAAGUCCCGCAACGAGCGCAACCCUUAUCCUUUGUUGCCAGCGGUUAGGCCGGGAACUCAAAGGAGACUGCCAGUGAUAAACUGGAGGAAGGUGGGGAUGACGUCAAGUCAUCAUGGCCCUUACGACCAGGGCUACACACGUGCUACAAUGGCAUAUACAAAGAGAAGCGACCUCGCGAGAGCAAGCGGACCUCAUAAAGUAUGUCGUAGUCCGGAUUGGAGUCUGCAACUCGACUCCAUGAAGUCGGAAUCGCUAGUAAUCGUAGAUCAGAAUGCUACGGUGAAUACGUUCCCGGGCCUUGUACACACCGCCCGUCACACCAUGGGAGUGGGUUGCAAAAGAAGUAGGUAGCUUAACCUUCGGGAGGGCGCUUACCACUUUGUGAUUCAUGACUGGGGUG
rnacentral:rRNA from 1 species